rnacentral:sRNA from 1 species
UCCCAUUCCACGAAACCCUUCAUGCAGC